rnacentral:rRNA from 1 species
AAGGUGCUUGCAUCUUGAUUUAAUUUUGAACGAGUGGCGGACGGGUGAGUAACACGUGGGUAACCUGCCCUUAAGUGGGGGAUAACAUUUGGAAACAGAUGCUAAUACCGCAUAAAUCCAAGAACCGCAUGGUUCUUGGCUGAAAGAUGGCGUAAGCUAUCGCUUUUGGAUGGACCCGCGGCGUAUUAGCUAGUUGGUGAGGUAACGGCUCACCAAGGCAAUGAUACGUAGCCGAACUGAGAGGUUGAUCGGCCACAUUGGGACUGAGACACGGCCCAAACUCCUACGGGAGGCAGCAGUAGGGAAUCUUCCACAAUGGACGCAAGUCUGAUGGAGCAACGCCGCGUGAGUGAAGAAGGCUUUCGGGUCGUAAAACUCUGUUGUUGGAGAAGAAUGGUCGGCAGAGUAACUGUUGUCGGCGUGACGGUAUCCAACCAGAAAGCCACGGCUAACUACGUGCCAGCAGCCGCGGUAAUACGUAGGUGGCAAGCGUUAUCCGGAUUUAUUGGGCGUAAAGCGAGCGCAGGCGGUUUUUUAAGUCUGAUGUGAAAGCCCUCGGCUUAACCGAGGAAGUGCAUCGGAAACUGGGAAACUUGAGUGCAGAAGAGGACAGUGGAACUCCAUGUGUAGCGGUGAAAUGCGUAGAUAUAUGGAAGAACACCAGUGGCGAAGGCGGCUGUCUGGUCUGUAACUGACGCUGAGGCUCGAAAGCAUGGGUAGCGAACAGGAUUAGAUACCCUGGUAGUCCAUGCCGUAAACGAUGAAUGCUAGGUGUUGGAGGGUUUCCGCCCUUCAGUGCCGCAGCUAACGCAUUAAGCAUUCCGCCUGGGGAGUACGACCGCAAAGUUGAAACUCAAAGGAAUUGACGGGGGCCCGCACAAGCGGUGGAGCAUGUGGUUUAAUUCGAAGCAACGCGAAGAACCUUACCAGGUCUUGACAUCUUUUGAUCACCUGAGAGAUCAGGUUUCCCCUUCGGGGGCAAAAUGACAGGUGGUGCAUGGUUGUCGUCAGCUCGUGUCGUGAGAUGUUGGGUUAAGUCCCGCAACGAGCGCAACCCUUAUGACUAGUUGCCAGCAUUUAGUUGGGCACUCUAGUAAGACUGCCGGUGACAAACCGGAGGAAGGUGGGGAUGACGUCAAAUCAUCAUGCCCCUUAUGACCUGGGCUACACACGUGCUACAAUGGAUGGUACAACGAGUUGCGAGACCGCGAGGUCAAGCUAAUCUCUUAAAGCCAUUCUCAGUUCGGACUGUAGGCUGCAACUCGCCUACACGAAGUCGGAAUCGCUAGUAAUCGCGGAUCAGCACGCCGCGGUGAAUACGUUCCCGGGCCUUGUACACACCGCCCGUCACACCAUGAGAGUUUGUAACACCCGAAGCCGGUGGCGUAACCCUUUUAGGGAGCGAGCCGUCUAAGGUGGGACAAAGAUUAGGGGAAGUCGUAACAAGGAGACCUAGUA